GACGAACGCUGGCGGCGUGCUUAACACAUGCAAGUCGAACGAUGAAGUUCCUUCGGGAAUGGAUUAGUGGCGAACGGGUGAGGAACACGUGAGAAACCUGCCUUUCAUUUUGGGAUACCUCCGGGAAACCGGGGCUAAAACCGAAUACUCCGUCUCGGCGGCAUCGCUGAGCCGGGAAAAAAUUUUGAUGAAAGAUGGUCUCGCGGCCUAUCAGCUAGUUGGUGAGGUAAUGGCUCACCGAGGCAACGACGGGUAGCCGGCCUGAGAGGGCGACCGGCCACACUGGGACUGAGACACGGCCCAGACUCCUACGGGAGGCAGCAGUGGGGAAUAUUGGGCAAUGGGCGCAAGCCUGACCCAGCGACGCCGCGUGAGGGAUGAAGGCCUUCGGGUUGUAAACCUCUUUCAGUUGGGAAGAAGCGAAAGUGACGGUACCUAAAGAAGAAGCACCGGCUAACUAUGUGCCAGCCGCCGCGGUAA
rnacentral:rRNA from 1 species